GGAGGGUCCAAGCGUUAUCCGGAUUUAUUGGGUUUAAAGGGUACGUAGGCGGAAUUUUAAGUCAGUAGUGAAAUCCCAUCGCUCAACGAUGGAACUGCUAUUGAAACUGAAUUUCUUGAAUAUAGUUGAAGUAGGCGGAAUACGGCAUGUAGCGGUGAAAUGCAUAGAUAUGCCGUGGAACACCAAUCGCGAAGGCAGCUUACUAAGCUAUUAUUGACGCUAAGGUACGAAAGCGUGGGUAGCGAACAGGAUUAGAUACCCUGGUAGUCCACGCCGUAAACGAUGAUUACUCGGUGCUGGCGAUACACUGUCAGUGCCUAAGCGAAAGCGAUAAGUAAUCCACCUGGGGAGUACGAUCGCAAGGUUGAAACUCAAAGGAAUUGACGGGGGCCCGCACAAGCGGUGGAGCAUGUGGUUUAAUUCGAUGAUACGCGAGGAACCUUACCUGGGCUUAAAUGCAUAAUGACAGGCUGAGAAAUCAGUCCUUCUUCGGACAGAAUGCAAGGUGCUGCAUGGCCGUCGUCAGCUCGUGCUGUGAGGUGUCGGGUUAAGUCCCAUAACGAGCGCAACCCCUAUCUUUAGUUGCCAGCGAGUAAUGUCGGGGACUCUAGAGAAACUGCCCGUGCAAACGGUGAGGAAGGUGGGGACGACGUCAGGUCAUCACGGCCCUUACGUCCAGGGCUACACACGUGCUACAAUGGUAGAGACAGAGGGCAGCCACCCGGUGACGGGGAGCUAAUCCUUAAACUCUAUCUCAGUUCGGAUUGAAGUCUGCAACUCGACUUCAUGAAGCUGGAAUCGCUAGUAAUCGCAUAUCAGCCACGAUGCGGUGAAUACGUUCCCGGGCCUU
rnacentral:rRNA from 1 species